rnacentral:lncRNA from 10 species
UGGAGGAAUGGGAGAGGAGCUUUCCACUCCUCUGAGAGUCAUGUCGAGAGUCUGUCUUAGCCCUCGACCCCUCAGUCUUUGUAGAUCUCAUCCCAGAACCCCGAGGGAGAGGUGAGGCGACUCUGAGGCAGGAGGUCCAAGUUUGCUGGACAAUGGCAGAAACAGAAUUCAAACACCUGUCUUCUAGGAGAAGUUCUGGUCUCUCCUCGGUGCUGCGGCUGCCCCGGGAAGAGUUUCCAGGAGCUGACAAGCAUUCAGAUGAGUAAAGAUGGGAUCGGAUUGAGAAAAGGAGAAGGGAGAGCAUAUUCGUUCUCUUUCCACCUCCCUCCCACAGCCUUUCAUGCUGAUCUCAUCUGACGAAGCUGCCUCCUCCUCCCUGGACUCUACAAGCCCCUGUCAUGAUGUUUCUCAGAUCCUGAAUUCCAGCGAAACAGAUGAUACUAACAAGUUUGAAGACCCCCACAGAGGAAUGGAAUCAGUAUGAGAACACAGUUUCUUCAUCUCCCUGUCCCAGAACUUCACCCUGGACUCCUCGACCAAUCAACAAUCUCCACACUUCGGCCCACUCCAAAACUCCUAAAAUCCCAAGCUCCAAACUCCUCUGGGAGAUGGAUUUGAGGCUUCCUCCCGUUUCCUUGUGUGGAAGCCCUGUCAUUAAACCUC